CCUUCUUCUCUUGAUGGAGACCAGGGGUCAGUCCUGCUCCUGCUCUGUGUGAAGCAGGAGGAAAGGGCCUGGCUCUGUUUGCACCAUGUCUUCAGGACCUGUGGCCUCCUUGCCACCAGUGCUAGCCUCAGGUCUAGGAUCCCUG